AUUCCAGCUCCAAUAGCGUAUACUUUAGUUGUUGCAGUUAAAAAGCUCGUAGUUGAAUUUCUGGUGGGAAGAUGCGGACGGCCUCAUGGCUUGUUCUAAGUCUUCCGGCCAUCCUUGGGUGGAGCUCGUCUGGCAUUAAGUUGUCGGGCGGGGGAUGCCCAUCGUUUACUGUGAAAAAAUUAAAGUGUUCAAAGCAGACUUAUGUCGUUGAAUAUAUUAGCAUGGAAUAAUAAGAUAGGACAGCAGUGCUAUUUUGUUGGUUUGCGCACCGUUGUAAUGAUGAAUAGGGACAGUUGUGGGUAUUUAUAUUCACUUGUAAGAGGUGAAAUUCUUAGAUUAAGGGGAGAUAAACUACUGCGAAAGCAUUUACCAAGGAUGUUUUCAUUA
rnacentral:rRNA from 1 species